rnacentral:rRNA from 1 species
CUCAUAUUGAACGCUGGCGGCAGGCUUAACACAUGCAAGUCGAGCGGGGAAAGGUAGCUUGCUACCUGACCUAGCGGCGGACGGGUGAGUAAUGCUUAGGAAUCUGCCUAUUAGUGGGGGACAACAUUCCGAAAGGAAUGCUAAUACCGCAUACGCCCUACGGGGGAAAGCAGGGGAUCUUCGGACCUUGCGCUAAUAGAUGAGCCUAAGUCAGAUUAGCUAGUUGGUGGGGUAAAGGCCUACCAAGGCGACGAUCUGUAGCGGGUCUGAGAGGAUGAUCCGCCACACUGGGACUGAGACACGGCCCAGACUCCUACGGGAGGCAGCAGUGGGGAAUAUUGGACAAUGGGCGAAAGCCUGAUCCAGCCAUGCCGCGUGUGUGAAGAAGGCCUUUUGGUUGUAAAGCACUUUAAGCGAAGAGGAGGCUACCGAGAUUAAUACUCUUGGAUAGUGGACGUUACUCGCAGAAUAAGCACCGGCUAACUCUGUGCCAGCAGCCGCGGUAAUACAGAGGGUGCGAGCGUUAAUCGGAUUUACUGGGCGUAAAGCGUGCGUAGGCGGCUUUUUAAGUCGGAUGUGAAAUCCCUGAGCUUAACUUAGGAAUUGCAUUCGAUACUGGGAAGCUAGAGUAUGGGAGAGGAUGGUAGAAUUCCAGGUGUAGCGGUGAAAUGCGUAGAGAUCUGGAGGAAUACCGAUGGCGAAGGCAGCCAUCUGGCCUAAUACUGACGCUGAGGUACGAAAGCAUGGGGAGCAAACAGGAUUAGAUACCCUGGUAGUCCAUGCCGUAAACGAUGUCUACUAGCCGUUGGGGCCUUUGAGGCUUUAGUGGCGCAGCUAACGCGAUAAGUAG